rnacentral:RNase_P_RNA from 2 species
CGAGUUGACCGAGACAAUCGCUGCAUCAUCUUUAUGGAUGGUGGGGAGGAAAGUCCGGGCUCCAAAGAGCAGGGUGCCAGAUAACGUCUGGGCGGCGUGAGCCGACGACAAGUGCAGCAGAGAGAAGACCGCCAAGCUUGCUUGGUAAGGGUGAAAGGGUGCGGUAAGAGCGCACCGGGCCACUGGUAACAGUUGGUUGCAAGGUAAACUCCACUCGGAGCAAGAUCAAAUAGGUUCCCGCAUGGCGUGGCUCGCGUUGGGAACGGGUAGAUUGCUUGAGCCUGCGAGCGAUUGCAGGCCUAGACGAAUGAUUGUCGCUGUCGCAAGACAGAACAGAACCCGGCUUACAAGUGUCAACUCACUAA